rnacentral:lncRNA from 1 species
GUUGAAUCUGUUUACCUGGAAAAACUUAGAAAAUUGAAUAAGUCAAGAAUUUGACUAUGCUCAUCACCCAAAACCAGGUUUUUCUAAUUGCUUUUUCACCUGGGUUUGUGGCAAUGCCAGUUAUGCGACCACGAAAAAUGCGCGCGGCACUUUUUUUGGACACUGAAGGUGGUAACAUUUGAUGUUGUCAUAUAUUGCCAUCCUCUUAUUGUAGCAUAACUUAACUUAUUUUAGUGAAUUUGUUCACUAUAUGCUUGUAAUAUCUAAGAUUUUUUCAUGGCAUUAUAUGAUAAAUUUAAGUUCUGUUUUCUUUUAUUUAUAGGUGAUAGUAUCUAUUCACUCCAGUGUUGGUAUCAAAUUUUGGUCAAGUUUCAAUUAUUAUUUCACAUUCCUUUAUUCAAAUAUCCAAAUAAAUGGAAUAUGACAUCAAGCCGGAGGACUAGAUCCUGUUUUCAAACUUGUUUUUUGUAAAAAUAGAAAAUAACAACUUAUUCUGUGUUGUUCUAAUAAAAACCAUUGUUUUUGAUAUGCAUAUAUUUUAAUUUUAUUCUUUGUUAAAAUGUGCACCUGAAAUACUGAAAUCUUUCAGAUCAGCUAACAAUACCUUUAUAACUUAUAUAGCCAAGUGUUCUAUCUAUUUUUGUUCAGAUUAAACAAAUAAUGGGUAAAAUAUUAGAUAAGAUUUUUUCAAAAAAUAUGAGCUUGCCUGUUUUCAAAGCAUAAAAAGCAAUAAAAUAAAGCAAAAGUACUUAUUUUUAUUUUAAUACCUUUGGAAUGCACAGCUUAAUGUUUUUUUACUAAAUAUUACAAAGUUUUCGUUCAUUAAAAUGUUGUUUUAUCAGCUUUAAAACCAGAUAAAUCCACGAAACACUCCUAAUAUACGUCGCCAUAUUGAUUUUCUGCGCGCAUGCUCAGACAAAUUGCCUACCUGUUGUUGAAUUCUUCUUUGGAGGUUUAAAUUCUUCAAUAAGAUAUGAUAAUAUAUUUUUUGACAGGUCCGGGGUGGGCAAAAAAAUGAAAAUUUUUUGACAGGUCCGGGGUGGGCGAAAAAAUGAAAAUUUUUGACAGGUCCGGGGUGGGCAAAAAAAUGAAAAUUUUUUGACAGGUCCGGGGUAGGCAAAAAAAUAAAAAAAUUUUGACAGGUCCGGGGUGGGCAAAAAAAUGAAAAUUUUUUGACAGGUCCGGGGUGAGCAAAAAAAUGAAAAUUUUUUGACGGGUCCGGGGUGGGCAAAAAAAAAAAAUUUUUUUGGCAAUGUAUCUUCCACUUAAUUCAAACAAGGAUUCUAUUUUGUAAAACUUGUUUCAACCUUUCAAGCGAAGGCCCUUCGACUUUGUCUGGAAAUUAAUAGUAGACGAAGACCGUUCAAAGUUAUAUUAUGCUUUGCACCUGUAUGGCUGUACUACAUUUAUAAAUAUUGCAGUAUUUAAAUAUAAUAAAUGACUUAGGAAACUAGUAAAUAGACCCCUUCCCGUGUUAUACACGUUGACAGGCAAAUGUAUUAAUUUUAAAAGCUUCAAAGAAAGCUUCGUAUUAUUAUGGUGUAAACACAAUGGGGAAUGUAUUAUUUUAUGUAAUCGUAAUUUUCAGCCAGCAAAAUAUAAACAAGGCAAGGACAGCCAAGGUUUUAUACUCUAUACUUGGAC